AUCUCUGUUUUUCCUCAAACUACAGGAACAUCAAUUAGAAAAAACUUGAUACCCUGGAUCAUUCUAGGGUCUGUGAUCAAUUGUCUCCAAAGCAGGAAGACCAAGGUCACAUCCCCUGGAUAAUGCUGUGAGCUGCACUCCCCACCACCAUUUUCCUGGAGGUUCAGAUGCAGAGCCCACCCAGCACCUCCCUGCCCUGGAGCCUGACUUUCUGGAGAGCAGCUUUUCCUAGGACUCACGCUGGCCUCCUCCACAGUGGGAAUCAAGACCCACCCUCCUGCUACCCUCCCAGGAAUCCAGCACUCACUACUUGGAAGCUUUUCUUUGUAAACCCUCCAAAUGCAACCUCUGACAGAGACCUGACUGGAGUGGCCAGCGUCUUCCCACCAGAAAUCACUGAGAAGGAGAAACCUUCAAACACCACUUUGUUUUUGAGGAGAUGCAUAUAAUCCCCAGAUUUUAUAUCCUUUCCAACUGUUUUAUUAUUUGUUUCUUAACCACAAUUCUAUUCUUAUGGUCUUGAGGGAAGGAGGAAUUAAGGGG
rnacentral:lncRNA from 1 species